rnacentral:rRNA from 1 species
CAGUCGCCGCGGUAAUACGGAGGGAGCUAGCGUUGUUCGGAAUUACUGGGCGUAAAGCGCGCGUAGGCGGUUACUCAAGUCAGAGGUGAAAGCCCGGGGCUCAACCCCGGAACUGCCUUUGAAACUAGGUGACUAGAAUCUUGGAGAGGUCAGUGGAAUUCCGAGUGUAGAGGUGAAAUUCGUAGAUAUUCGGAAGAACACCAGUGGCGAAGGCGACUGACUGGACAAGUAUUGACGCUGAGGUGCGAAAGCGUGGGGAGCAAACAGGAUUAGAUACCCGGGUAGUCCCUGUCUAUUAUAC